UACAACUUUCAACAACGGAUCUCUUGGCUCUCGCAUCGAUGAAGAACGCAGCGAAAUGCGAUACGUAAUGUGAAUUGCAGAAUUCAGUGAAUCAUCGAAUCUUGAACGCACCU
rnacentral:rRNA from 1 species